GAUGAACGCUAGCGAUAGGCUUAACACAUGCAAGUCGAGGGGCAGCACAAGGUAGCUUGCUAUCUGGGUGGCGACCGGCGCACGGGUGCGUAACGCGUAUGCAACUUGCCCUAUACAGGAGGAUAACCCGUCGAAAGACGGACUAAUACUGCGUAUGCUCACAACUUGGCAUCAAGUGGUGAGGAAAGAAAUUCGGUAUAGGAUAGGCAUGCGUCCCAUUAGCUUGUUGGUGAGGUAACGGCUCACCAAGGCAACGAUGGGUAGGGGAACUGAGGGGUUUACACCCCACACCGGAACUGCGGAACGGACCACAAUGGUACGGGACGGAGCAGUGAGGACUGCUGGGCACUGGAGGCGAGCCUGAACCCGCCAAGUCGCGUGAAGGAUGACUGUCUUAUGGAUUGUAAACUUCUUGUAGAGGGGAAUAGCAAGAGUAACGUGUGACUCCCUGCAUGUACCGUAUGAAUAAGCCUCGGCUAACUCCGUG
rnacentral:rRNA from 1 species